UACGGGGGGGGCAAGCGUUGUUCGGAAUUACUGGGCGUAAAGGGCUCGUAGGCGGCCAACUAAGUCAGACGUGAAAUCCCUCGGCUUAACCGGGGAACUGCGUCUGAUACUGGAUGGCUUGAGUGUGGGAGAGGAAUGCGGAAUUCCAGGUGUAGCGGUGAAAUGCGUAGAGAUGUGGAGGAAUACCGAUGGCGAAGGCAGCCCCCUGGGAUAACACUGACGCUCAUGCACGAAAGCGUGGGGAGCAAACAGG
rnacentral:rRNA from 1 species